CCUUAGGCCCAACCUUGUGAACUUGACCAUUCGGUCAUGUGAUGUAAUAAUUUGGUACUCGGAUGUAAGACUCUUAUUAUUCAGUAUCUGUGUGUUCGGUGAGUAUUGAUCUCUGGGAUCACUGCGCACGUUCAUUCGGCGAUCUCGACUCGUAAGUCGGGGUCCCCACAUUGUGUAUGUGGAUCUUGACAAAGUGGAUAUGUGGGAAAUAUGACUGAGUGCUUUGGUGG
rnacentral:lncRNA from 1 species